GACAAUUCCCAGGGGAGGCUUCAAACAAACCAUUUCCGACUCCCGGGUCGUUACGGCACGGGUCAUAUCCUAGUGCCGUCAUAAAUACAAUUGAAUCCGUAAUUAAAACUAGUGAAAACGUUUUGAAGAAAUCAUUAGCUAAGAACCUGAAAGAUAAAUCCCGGCUGAGAAUGCACCCAUCUCUUACGCUCCCAUCGGACGUCCUUGAUUCUACCUUUCUCUAUUCAGUUUUAAUAUGCGUUACAUAGAUAACCUGCCUCCAUGCCAUUACCCUAGCGGUUUUGCUGCGAGUUCUUCUCCUUUCAAUUUCCACAUACGUUCCGCUCAUCUAUUUUUAACGCCAGCCGUUUCGAUUUUCCUUGCCAUUAGUUUUCUCAUUUACUCAAAGCAUGAGCACCUCUUAUUUUUGGCAUUCAAAGUCACUGGCGUUUCUGUUUGCAUUCAAUAUAAAUCAGUCUCACCCAUCAUUGUCUUUAGGCGUUUCUCUUCACCACGAAAAUAAACCUCUCAAAUUAGAGGAUGAAAGAAAAGGUACUCAUUAUCUCAGGCGUUUCUCUUCACCACGAAAUAAACCUCUCAAAUUAGAGGAUGAAAGAAAAGGUACUCAUUAUCUCAGGUAUGACUCACUCUUCUUAUUAGGGUUGAUUCAGAUUGUUGUUCGUUCUUUCACUAAAUUUCAUAUUUGGUUUAUUUUGAUGUUAUUUCAAAGUUUUAAUUUGAUAUUUGUAAGACGUCAUCAUCAGCUUCCAGGCAUAUAAUGCAACACCCUCCUGUCGUCUCUCUGAUUUUUUUUAUUAUCUCAUGCUUACUUUCCUGCUGUUUUGGUUAAUCGUCUAGCUGUUCAAUUUUUUGAGACCCCAAAUUUGUCAUCGGAAUAGCUUCUCCUCAAUGGCUGCAUUUUAGGUAUGCCUAAUGUUUUACCGACAUCAAUCAACAUUUCUUUGCAUUUCUCAAUUCCUUUAUAAUUGUUAAAAGUUCAAUUUGUGUAAGACUAAAUUGCUUAAUUUUUGUGGAUUUUUUGUUGUUGUUCGAGUUAAUUCAAAACUAUCAAUGGAGAGAGCAUUUUUUGCAGGCGCAAACUCAAUUUAAGGAACUACUUUAUGUGUAUGUUGUAAUGGAAUUUAUCAUAUUCUUAAUUUUUAGGAUGUUAAGCUUAAGUGAACUGAAAAUUUUCCCUCUACCUGUUUGUGAAAAUGUUCUAAAAGGUUUUUAUAAUUUUCUUUACAAGGUGAUGAGUUAUAAAACUCAUGUCGUAGUAUUUGUAAAAGUGGAAAAUUGUUCCAUUUCAAUCGAAAGUAUAAUAUAUCAGCAAAUUGCUUUUUAGACGAUGAAAAGAGAGGACCUGAUCUUUCAUGGUCUCUUAUUCCUGAUGUGUUGAGGAAGAAGUCGUAAUUGCGGUCUGCUAUUUAGGAAAUUAAUAAAUUUUCGGUGCUUACUUUUAUUUCAAAGUUACUUACUAUAGAGAACAUGGGCUCUUAAUGUAUUUUAUAUCCGGGGUCAAUUGUAAAAGAUUGUGGAAGUGAAAAUUCUGACAUCCAUAUAUCUGUUUACUCCUGGCUCCUACCUAAGGCUGAUUUGCACAAUGUGGGUUUUAUAUGGGAUGGUAUUACAGAUUGAAUAUGUGCAAAUGAGAUGCAUCACUUUGUAGGUGAGUCAACAGUGGGAUGGGAUGAGGACUGAAAUCUACACCUGCCACGAGAAGACUUCUCUCUUUCAACAUGUAAUUCCUUGGCCAACUAUUCCGCAUACAAAAGUAUAUGCUUACCCUAUGCAGUAUUGGCGAGAUAUUUUGAAUUCAGAUUUUUCUUUUGCUUCUUUUAGCUACCAACCUGUAGCUUCUUUCGAUAGAUGGAAUGCAGGAGUUUGACUCAAAGUAUCCAAAAAAGCGUUUUACAAGGACUAAACAACAUAAUAACUCAUUGUACCUGGUUACUUAAGUUAUAACAGUUACACAAAGAAAGUGGUGGUAGAUGAGGAUGAGGUAUGAUGCAUAGGGUGUCAGAUACAGAUUGAUGAAUCGAUACUCAGAUAGUCCUACAACACUGUGGUUCCCACACUCAUACUAGCAUCCGUGUCUAACGAGUAAAAUAUAAAAAAAACUGUGAAGACAUUUAUUUUCAGAUUACUCCCGUGGAUUUUUAAUUAGUCGGACAGGGGGAGAGAAGCAAUUGAAGAUGCCCCGCUCACUGUCUUCAGGGAGGAGCUUAAUUACCAGAUUAUCGCCAACAGGUCGAAUGUAAAUAAGAAUGUCUAAUUUCAAGGUAGGCAAGAUUAAUUACCCAGAAGCCCGCAAAGUGACCGCUUUAAGACAGUGGGGGCAAAGUGAAGACCUAGAUCCUUAAAUGCUGAAGAUAUCCCUGCAAAGAGGUUCGGCAUUGCACAAAACCUAGUUCAAAUUCCACGAUCAAGGACCGAUGAGGUUUGAAGGCACCAGGGGAUGUACUAUGUACUGGGAGGAAGUGACAAUUCAAUCCUUUUUAAUUGUGUUUUACUAAUGCUGAUUAGCUUUUCUCAAACUCAAACCGUCUUAUAAGGUCACCUACCAUUUACUUGAGUUUAUAUCCAUGUACUUUUUACGUUAAAUUUCUUAAAGAACGGGUACAAUGUUAUCCAAGAUACAUGAGAAAGUGGGUGGUUAAUUUUUUGCACCCCAAAAUUAUAUGAUCAAGUAUUUAUGAUUAUGUCCUA